AGUGAACGCUGGCGGCGUGCCUAAUACAUGCAAGUCGAACGGAGUGGCGCACGGGUGAGUAAUAUAUAGCUAAUUUGCCCCUUUCUGGAGGACAAAAGUUAUAAAUGUCUGCUCAUACUCCAUAGCAAGGGAUGAGACUCUAUCGUAUCAGGUAGUCGGUGGGGUAACGGCCUACCGAGGCAAUGACGCGUAACUGGUCUGAGAGGAUCAUCACUGACAUUGGAACUGAGACACGGUCCAGACUCCUACGUGAGGGAGCAAUGGGGAAUAUAGCAAAAUGGGGGGAACGAUGACGGAGCAACGGCUGGUGGAGGAUGACACUUUUCGGGGCGUGAACUCGUUUUAUUAGGGAAGCGGUACCUAACUAAUAAGCACCGGCUAACUCCGUGCCAGCAGCCGCGGUAAUAC
rnacentral:rRNA from 1 species